CACGGUGCUACAUGCAUGUGAUGUGUAUGCUUGUGUAUGUCUAUGUAUAUAUGCGUACAUACAGACACUCAUACACAUUUUUUUAAAAAAGUUAAAUCUAAAAAUAAAUUAGACAAAGGCCUAAUUGUGUCUAGUACAAUUGAUCUAGUACAUGCUCCAGAAUCCAUGUGAGACCUCCCUAGGUCGUCUUCUUCCAUAUUCCUUCAUUCAACUUUCAAUUCUAUAUGGGAUUUAUUUUGAGGGCAGAGGGCUUCUUGUAUACCAAAUUCUAGGUGCUAAACAGUAUCCAAGUUCCUUGGCAAAAAAACCUCUUAGAUUUUUGUAUUGGGGAAUGGGGGCAUUGUUUUCUAUUUUGAGCCAAGGUCUAGCUAGCUAUGUAGUUCAAGUUGGCCUCAUAUUAGUUAUCCUCCUGCCUCAGCUUCCCAAGAACUAGGAUUACAGUUGGUAUCCAUGAUACUUGACUUUAAAAACAAUUCCUAAUCUUCAUCUUUCUGGAGAGAUUGGUGUUACCAACCCCUUUGACAAGUGGGGAAACUGAGUCCCAGGCAAGUGCCACUUCUCUCAGAGCACUCAGCACUAGGUAGUACCACCUUGCUUGUGUAUUGUGUCUCUACUUCUGGAAGGACAGCUCCUAGAAAGCUAGGGACUUGCUUUAUUUUGUCCACAGGUAUAUCUCAAAGCCUGGAAAUGUUUGUUGACUGAAUGAACAAAGUGGUGAAGCUGUGAAACUGGAAUUGUCUGGCUAGGAAACUGAAACGCCAUUUCUUUUUGGGUCUGGACUGGGGAACUUCAUAGUCCCUCGCCAGUGCCAGUGAAGCUAGUUCUAGGGUUCUAGAAUUCUCCUUUAGAACUCUGAGGUUAUUUCCCCCCACAACACUUGCCUCUCUCUAUUCUUCUUGCCCAAAGAAAGACUCAGAAAUCAGGGGAGAGCAGCUGUAGGAGUCCUCCACUCUGCCCUCCUAGGCUGAAAACCGCUGGGAACAGGGCACAGAUCCCUGCCCCAGGUCUCAACCCCAGAGCAGCCAAGCUUGGUGCUGACGUGGGUCGAUGGGCAUGAGAUCCCGAGAAUGACAGGAGAGCAAGGAAGCCCAGUGUGUGGACAGAUGUGAGAGUCAGGCAGGCGCACCUUUCUGCGCUAAGCCACUGGGAGCCAGGGUUACCUUGGGGUCCUGAGGACACUCUGCUCUCUGCCAGACCUGAACACUGACGUGAACCCAAGAUAGCACAGUACCCACCCCUCAGCUGUCCCAGUGCGUGAGAGCUCACUUUGCUCGGAUCUGAGCAAAGGCUCUGCGAUCCUAGCCAAGUUACCUCUUGAUGUCUCCGGCUCUCCAUCUGUAGAAAGGCAAAGGCAAACGGAGAAGUGCUUAGUGCAGUGCCUGAAGGCUCCCUGGGGGCUGGCAGAUGUCCCGCUCUGAAGGUGACUUAAGCACAGAAGGAAAGAGCUCAGUGAGGACCACAAAAGUAACUUCCAUGGCUGGCUCCCAUGGCAGAGAAAGCUUGAGGCUACAGAUGGGAUUUCCUGAGCUCAUCAUUGAGGUGGAGAAGGUCAAAUGGGUCUUUCCUGCACCACUUCUAGCCCCAGCAAAUUUGCUCCCAGUGGGAAUGUGCCUGCCAUGCAGGAGAGUGGGGGAUGGGUAUCUUGUCUGAGCUUAGGUCUUGCAGUGUGGGGAAUGGGUGGAGCUCUGACCAGCCCUAGGGCCUCAGGAGCAUCCCUCUAGUCCCUAAAUCCUUCUCCGUGUCUAGUUUCUACUCAGCCCAGCACUUCCAGCCUUGCCAGGACAGGGACGCAGCACUCUGACCUUUAAGUAGCUUGGCCACUUUCUCACAAACCCACAUCAAACUAGAAGCCACUCCAAGCCUGGGAACCUUAUUUAGGGACUUGUCUUCAGAACCUCUGGUCCUUACUAAAUGUAAGGUUUCUAGCUGA